AAAAAUGCACACAUUGUGAGCUCGAUGAGUAGGGCGGGACACGUGGUAUCCUGUCUGAAUAUGGGGGGACCAUCCUCCAAGGCUAAAUACUCCUGACUGACCGAUAGUGAACCAGUACCGUGAGGGAAAGGCGAAAAGAACCCCGGCGAGGGGAGUGAAAAAGAACCUGAAACCGUGUACGUACAAGCAGUGGGAGCCUCUUAAUGGGGUGACUGCGUACCUUUUGUAUAAUGGGUCAGCGACUUAUAUUCUGUAGCAAGGUUAACCGAAUAGGGGAGCCGAAGGGAAACCGAGUCUUAACUGGGCGUUAAGUUGCAGGGUAUAGACCCGAAACCCGGUGAUCUAGCCAUGGGCAGGUUGAAGGUUGGGUAACACUAACUGGAGGACCGAACCGACUAAUGUUGAAAAAUUAGCGGAUGACUUGUGGCUGGGGGUGAAAGGCCAAUCAAACCGGGAGAUAGCUGGUUCUCCCCGAAAGCUAUUUAGGUAGCGCCUCGUGAAUUCAUCUCCGGGGGUAGAGCACUGUUUCGGCAAGGGGGUCAUCCCGACUUACCAACCCGAUGCAAACUGCGAAUACCGGAGAAUGUUAUCACGGGAGACACACGGCGGGUGCUAACGUCCGUCGUGAAGAGGGAAACAACCCAGACCGCCAGCUAAGGUCCCAAAGUCAUGGUUAAGUGGGAAACGAUGUGGGAAGGCCCAGACAGCCAGGAUGUUGGCUUAGAAGCAGCCAUCAUUUAAAGAAAGCGUAAUAGCUCACUGGUCGAGUCGGCCUGCGCGGAAGAUGUAACGGGGCUAAACCAUGCACCGAAGCUGCGGCAGCGACACUAUGUGUUGUUGGGUAGGGGAGCGUUCUGUAAGCCUGUGAAGGUGGCCUGUGAGGGUUGCUGGAGGUAUCAGAAGUGCGAAUGCUGACAUAAGUAACGAUAAAGCGGGUGAAAAGCCCGCUCGCCGGAAGACCAAGGGUUCCUGUCCAACGUUAAUCGGGGCAGGGUGAGUCGACCCCUAAGGCGAGGCCGAAAGGCGUAGUCGAUGGGAAACAGGUUAAUAUUCCUGUACUUGGUGUUACUGCGAAGGGGGGACGGAGAAGGCUAUGUUGGCCGGGCGACGGUUGUCCCGGUUUAAGCGUGUAGGCUGGUUUUCCAGGCAAAUCCGGAAAACC
rnacentral:rRNA from 1 species